rnacentral:rRNA from 1 species
ACGAUGCACACUAGUUGUUGCUAUGCUAGACAUAGCAGUAAUGCAGUUAACACAGUAAGUGUGCCGCCUGGGGAGUACGGUCGCAAGAUUAAAACUCAAAGGAAUAGACGGGGACCCGCACAAGCGGUGGAGCAUGUGGUUUAAUUCGACGAUACGCGAAGAACCUUACCUGGCCUUGACAUAGAUAGAACUUACUAGAGAUAGUUUGGUGCUAGUUUACUAGAGCUAUCAUACAGGUGCUGCACGGCUGUCGUCAGCUCGUGUCGUGAGAUGUUGGGUUAAGUCCCGCAACGAGCGCAACCCUCGUGUUUAGUUGCUAACAGUUCGGCUGAGGACUCUAGACAGACUGCCUGGGUAACCAGGAGGAAGGUGAGGACGACGUCAAGUCAUCAUGGCCCUUACGGCCAGGGCUACACACGUGCUACAAUGGGGUAUACAAAGAGCAGCGAUACCGCGAGGUGGAGCAAAUCUCAUAAAAUAUCUCCCAGUUCGGAUAGUAGUCUGCAACUCGACCCCAUGAAGUUGGAAUCGCUAGUAAUCGCGGAACAGCAUGCCGCGGUGAAUACGUUCCCGGGCCUUGUACACACCGCCCGUCACACCAUGGGAAUUGGGUCUACCCGAAGGUGGUGCGCCAACUAUUUAUAGAGGCAGCCAACCACGGUAGGUUCAGUGACUGGGGUGAAGUCGUAACAAGGUAACC